rnacentral:rRNA from 1 species
ACACAUGCAAGUCGAGGGGCAGCAUGGUCUUAGCUUGCUAAGGCCGAUGGCGACCGGCGCACGGGUGAGUAACGCGUAUCCAACCUGCCUUACACUCUUGGACAGCCUUCUGAAAGGGAGAUUAAUACAAGAUGUUAUCAUGAGUAAGCAUUUUCGCAUGAUUAAAGGUUUACCGGUGUAAGAUGGGGAUGCGUUCCAUUAGAUAGUAGGCGGGGUAACGGCCCACCUAGUCUUCGAUGGAUAGGGGUUCUGAGAGGAAGGUCCCCCACAUUGGAACUGAGACACGGUCCAAACUCCUACGGGAGGCAGCAGUGAGGAAUAUUGGUCAAUGGACGAGAGUCUGAACCAGCCAAGUAGCGUGAAGGAUGAAGGUUCUAUGGAUUGUAAACUUCUUUUAUACGGGAAUAAACGGAUCCACGUGUGGAUUUUUGCAUGUACCGUAUGAAUAAGGAUCGGCUAACUCCGUGCCAGCAGCCGCGGUAAUACGGAGGAUCCGAGCGUUAUCCGGAUUUAUUGGGUUUAAAGGGAGCGUAGAUGGGUUGUUAAGUCAGUUGUGAAAGUUUGCGGCUCAACCGUAAAAUUGCAAUUGAUACUGGCAGUCUUGAGUACAGUUGAGGUAGGCGGAAUUCGUGGUGUAGCGGUGAAAUGCUUAGAUAUCACGAAGAACUCCGAUUGCGAAGGCAGCUUACUAACCUGUAACUGACAUUGAUGCUCGAAAGUGUGGGUAUCAAACAGG